rnacentral:rRNA from 1 species
CCUACUUGCUUCCUCAGUGGUUCAUAUUUCUCCCUGUGCGCAACCCUGAUGCAGCGACGCCGCGUGAGUGAAGACGUAAUUCGUUAUGUAAAGCUCUAUCAGCAGGGAAGAAAAUGACGGUACCUGAGUAAGAAGCCCCGGCUAACUACGUGCCAGCAGCCGCGGUAAUACGUAGGGGGCAAGCGUUAUCCGGAUUUACUGGGUGUAAAGGGAGCGUAGACGGCAGUGCAAGUCUGGAGUGAAAGGCGGGGGCUCAACCCCCGGACUGCUCUGGAAACUGUACGGCUGGAGUGCAGGAGAGGUAAGUGGAAUUCGUAGUGUAGCGGUGAAAUGCGUAGAUAUUAGGAAGAACACCAGUGGCGAAGGCAGCUUACUGGACUGUAACUGACGUUGAGGCUCGAAAGCGUGGGGAGCAAACAGGAUUAGAUACCCUGGUAGUC